GGGUUGUGAGGUUAAGCGACUAAGCGUACACGGUGGAUGCCCUGGCAGUCAGAGGCGAUGAAGGACGUGCUAAUCUGCGAUAAGCGUCGGUAAGGUGAUAUGAACCGUUAUAGCCGGCGAUUUCCGAAUGGGGAAACCCAGUGCAAUUCGUUGCACUAUCGUUAAGUGAAUACAUAGCUUAACGAAGCGAACCGGGGGAACUGAAACAUCUAAGUACCCCGAGGAAAAGAAAUCAACCGAGAUUCCCCCAGUAGCGGCGAGCGAACGGGGAGCAGCCCAGAACCUGAAUCAGUUUGUGUGUUAGUGGAAGCGUCUGGAAAGUCGCAGGGUACAGGGUGAUACUCCCGUACACUAAAAUGCACAGGCUGUGAGUUCGAAGAGUAGGGCGGGACACGUGGUAUCCUGUCUGAAUAUGGGGGGACCAUCCUCCAAGGCUAAAUACUCCUGACUGACCGAUAGUGAACCAGUACCGUGAGGGAAAGGCGAAAAGAACCCCGGCGAGGGGAGUGAAAAAGAACCUGAAACCGUGUACGUACAAGCAGUGGGAGCCUACUUGUUAGGUGACUGCGUACCUUUUGUAUAAUGGGUCAGCGACUUAUAUUCUGUAGCAAGGUUAACCGAAUAGGGGAGCCGCAGGGAAACCGAGUCUUAACUGGGCGUUAAGUUGCAGGGUAUAGACCCGAAACCCGGUGAUCUAGCCAUGGGCAGGUUGAAGGUUGGGUAACACUAACUGGAGGACCGAACCGACUAAUGUUGAAAAAUUAGCGGAUGACUUGUGGCUGGGGGUGAAAGGCCAAUCAAACCGGGAGAUAGCUGGUUCUCCCCGAAAGCUAUUUAGGUAGCGCCUCGUGAACUCAUCUUCGGGGGUAGAGCACUGUUUCGGCUAGGGGGUCAUCCCGACUUACCAACCCGAUGCAAACUACGAAUACCGAAGAAUGUUAUCACGGGAGACACACGGCGGGUGCUAACGUCCGUCGUGAAGAGGGAAACAACCCAGACCGCCAGCUAAGGUCCCAAAGUCAUGGUUAAGUGGGAAACGAUGUGGGAAGGCACAGACAGCCAGGAUGUUGGCUUAGAAGCAGCCAUCAUUUAAAGAAAGCGUAAUAGCUCACUGGUCGAGUCGGCCUGCGCGGAAGAUGUAACGGGGCUAAACCAUGCACCGAAGCUGCGGCAGCGACACGAUGUGUUGUUGGGUAGGGGAGCGUUCUGUAAGCCGUUGAAGGUGGCCUGUGAGGGUUGCUGGAGGUAUCAGAAGUGCGAAUGCUGACAUAAGUAACGAUAAAGCGGGUGAAAAGCCCGCUCGCCGGAAGACCAAGGGUUCCUGUCCAACGUUAAUCGGGGCAGGGUGAGUCGACCCCUAAGGCGAGGCCGAAAGGCGUAGUCGAUGGGAAACAGGUUAAUAUUCCUGUACUCGGUGUUACUGCGAAGGGGGGACGGAGAAGGCUAUGUCGGCCGGGCGACGGUUGUCCCGGUUUAAGCAUGUAGGCGGAGGUUCCAGGUAAAUCCGGUACCUUAUUAACGCUGAGGUGUGAUGACGAGGCACUACGGUGCUGAAGUGACAAAUGCCCUGCUUCCAGGAAAAGCCUCUAAGCAUCAGGUAACAUCAAAUCGUACCCCAAACCGACACAGGUGGUCAGGUAGAGAAUACCAAGGCGCUUGAGAGAACUCGGGUGAAGGAACUAGGCAAAAUGGUGCCGUAACUUCGGGAGAAGGCACGCUGAUGGUAAGUGAAGCGACUUGCUCGUGGAGCUGAACUCAGUCGAAGAUACCAGCUGGCUGCAACUGUUUAUUAAAAACACAGCACUGUGCAAACACGAAAGUGGACGUAUACGGUGUGACGCCUGCCCGGUGCCGGAAGGUUAAUUGAUGGGGUUAUCCGUAAGGAGAAGCUCUUGAUCGAAGCCCCGGUAAACGGCGGCCGUAACUAUAACGGUCCUAAGGUAGCGAAAUUCCUUGUCGGGUAAGUUCCGACCUGCACGAAUGGCGUAAUGAUGGCCAGGCUGUCUCCACCCGAGACUCAGUGAAAUUGAACUCGCUGUGAAGAUGCAGUGUACCCGCGGCAAGACGGAAAGACCCCGUGAACCUUUACUAUAGCUUGACACUGAACACUGGUCCUUGAUGUGUAGGAUAGGUGGGAGGCUUUGAAGCGUGGACGCCAGUCUGCGUGGAGCCAACCUUGAAAUACCACCCUUUAAUGGCUGGUGUUCUAACGUAGACCCGUCAUCCGGGUUGCGGACAGUGUCUGGUGGGUAGUUUGACUGGGGCGGUCUCCUCCCAAAGAGUAACGGAGGAGCACGAAGGUUAGCUAAUCCUGGUCGGACAUCAGGAGGUUAGUGCAAUGGCAUAAGCUAGCUUGACUGCGAGCGUGACGGCGCGAGCAGGUGCGAAAGCAGGUCAUAGUGAUCCGGUGGUUCUGAAUGGAAGGGCCAUCGCUCAACGGAUAAAAGGUACUCCGGGGAUAACAGGCUGAUACCGCCCAAGAGUUCAUAUCGACGGCGGUGUUUGGCACCUCGAUGUCGGCUCAUCACAUCCUGGGGCUGAAGUAGGUCCCAAGGGUAUGGCUGUUCGCCAUUUAAAGUGGUACGCGAGCUGGGUUUAGAACGUCGUGAGACAGUUCGGUCCCUAUCUGCCGUGGGCGCUGGAGAAUUGAGGGGGGCUGCUCCUAGUACGAGAGGACCGGAGUGGACGCAUCACUGGUGUUCGGGUUGUCAUGCCAAUGGCAUUGCCCGGUAGCUAAAUGCGGAAGAGAUAAGUGCUGAAAGCAUCUAAGCACGAAACUUGCCCCGAGAUGAGUUCUCCCUGACUCUUUGAGAGUCCUGAAGGAACGUUGAAGACGACGACGUUGAUAGGUCGGGUGUGUAAGCGUAGCGAUACGUUGAGCUAACCGAUACUAAUGAACCGUGAGGCUUAACCUUACAACGCCGAAGCUGUU
rnacentral:rRNA from 1 species